rnacentral:tRNA from 1 species
UGUUGUAUAGCUCAGUUGGUAGAGCAUUGGGCUUUUAAUCUAAUGGACACAGGUUCAAGUCCUGCUAUACCCA